UGUGUAGGCGGUUGGAUAAGUGUGGUGCGAAAUCUCCCGGCUUAACUGGGAGGGUGCGCUACAAACUGUCUGACUAGAGUGCGGGAUGGGAAAGUGGAAUUCCUGGUGUAGCGGUGAAAUGCGUAGAUAUCAGGAGGAACACCGGUGGUGUAGACGGCUUUCUGGACCGUAACUGACGCUGAAACACGAAAGCGUGGGUAGCAAACAGGAUUAGAUACCCUGGUAGUCCACGCCCUAAACGAUGCAUAUUUGGUGUGGGUCAUUCAUUUGAUCCGUGCCGGAGCUAACGCGUUAAAUAUGCCGCCUGGGGAGUACAGUCGCAAGGCUGAA
rnacentral:rRNA from 1 species